GUACGGGUGAGUAACACGUGGAUGAUCUACCUUCUGGUGAGGAAUAACCAUGGGAAACCGUGGCUAAUACCGCAUAAGCUCGAGAGAGGAAAGCAGCAAUGCGCCGGAAGAGGAGUCCGCGGCCGAUUAGCUAGUUGGCAGGGUAAAAGCCUACCAAGGCGAGGAUCGGUAGCCGGCCUGAGAGGGCACACGGCCACACUGGCACUGAAACACGGGCCAGACUCCUACGGGAGGCAGCAGUGGGGAAUCUUGCACAAUGGGGGAAACCCUGAUGCAGCGACGCCGCGUGAGCGAUGAAGCCCUUCGGGGUGUAAAGCUCUUUCGGCAGGGAAGAUGGUGACGGUACCUGCAGAAGCAGCUGCGGCUAACUACGUGCCAGCAGCCGCGGUAAUACGUAGGCAGCAAGCGUUGUUCGGAGUUACUGGGCGUAAAGGGUGUGUAGGCGGUUGUUUAAGUUUGGUGUGAAAUCUCCCGGCUCAACUGGGAGGGUGCGCCGAAUACUGAAUGACUCGAGUGCGGGAGAGGAGAGUGGAAUUCCUGGUGUAGCGGUGAAAUGCGUAGAUAUCAGGAGGAACACCGGUGGUGUAGACGGCUCUCUGGACCGUAACUGACGCUGAGACACGAAAGCGUGGGUAGCAAACAGGAUUAGAUACCCUGGUAGUCCACGCCCUAAACGAUGCAUAUUUGGUGUGGGCCGUUCAGUCGGUCCGUGCCGGAGCUAACGCGUUAAAUAUGCCGCCUGGGGAGUACAGUCGCAAGGCUGAAACUCAAAGGAAUUGACGGGGGCCCGCACAAGCGGUGGAGCAUGUGGUUCAAUUCGAC
rnacentral:rRNA from 1 species